AUUGAACACUGGCGGCAGGCCUAACACAUGCAAGUCGAGCGGAGGAAGUGCGAUUGCUCCUUGCUUCAGCAACGGACGGGUGAGUAAUGCCUAGGAAUCUGCCUGGUAGUGGGGGAUACCGUCCGGAAACGGGCGCUAAUACCGCAUACGGCCUGAGGGAACAAGUGAAGGACACUAGGACGUAUCGCUAUCAGAUGAGAAUAGGUCGGAUUAGAUAGUUGGUGGGGUAUAGUCCUCCAAAGGCGACGAUCAUUACCUGGUAUGACAGGAAGAACAGUCAGACGGGAACUGAGAGUGAGUGGAGACUCUGACGGGGGGCAGCAGUGGAGAAUAUUGGGCGAUGGGGGAGUGGCUAAUCCUGCCAUGCCGCGUGUGUGAAGAAGGUCUUCGGAUUGGAGAGCACAUUAGGUAUGGAUGAAGGGCAGUAAGUUAAGACCGUGCUGUUUUGACGUUACCAACAGAAUAAGCACCGGCUAACUUCGUG
rnacentral:rRNA from 1 species